rnacentral:tRNA from 1 species
CAAGAGAAUUGUGGAGGCGAUGGGUACUACGGCUACAUUUUCAUCCUGGACCCUUCCUCCACGGUCGGAGCCUCGUCUUCCUCGCU